rnacentral:rRNA from 1 species
UACGGAGGGGGCUAGCGUUGUUCGGAAUCAUUGGGCGUAAAGGGCGCGUAGGCGGCUGAUCAAGUCGGAGGUGAAAUCCCUCGGCUCAACUGAGGAAUUGCCUUCGAUACUGUUCGGCUUGAGUCCUGGAGAGGGUAGCGGAAUUCCCGGUGUAGCGGUGAAAUGCGUAGAGACCGGGAAGAACACCAGUGGCGAAGGCGGCAUCCUGGACCGGCAUUGACGCUGAGACGCGAAAGCGUGGGGAGCAAACAGG